UCUUAGUAAUGCCGGAGCCUGAGUGACGUCAUGUUCCGGCUCUGGCAUCACUACUCUGCGCACGAGGAAGGAGAUCACUGCCCACUGCUCCCUAGCUUGAGGCGGCCAUUUUGUUUUCAGGAAUUUUGGCGGAACCCCAUUUGUGUUCUUGCGGAACCCCAAUUGGGAAAUGCUGGUUUAGAUGAAACAUUGUGUUUUGGAUAGAACAUUGACUUGAAGAUAAAAUGCAGAGAGUAGACGUAAAUAGAAAACUUUCAAACUGUAUAAAAGUGGUAACUCUCUUAAUCUGUUUAUAAAUGAUCUUGAAGUGGUCAUUGAAAGUCAUUUGUCGAUAUUUGCAGAUGACACAAACUAGGUAAGAUAAUGCAGGCUAAACAUGAUAUAUCUUCUCCACAAAGGGAUAAAUUGGGGAACUGGGUAGGAAACUAUCAUAGCAGAUUCAAAACAGCAAAAAGAGCAUUAAAUCUCAGGAUGAGUAUAUAAUUGUGCCCCUUUCUAAAUCACUGGUAAGGCCACAUCUUGAAAUAUGCUGUGCAAUUUUGUGCAUCUGUUCUAAAGAAGGAUAUUAUGGCACUAGAAAAAGUGCAGAGGAGAGCUACAAAAUUAAUAAAAGUAAUGAAAUAUUUUAGCAAUGAAGAAAGAUUAACAAAUGUAAACCUCUUUAGUCUAAAAAAUGGCACCUCAGAUAGGAUAUGACAGCAUUAUACAAAUAUAUCCGGGACCAAUACAAACCAUUGUCUGGAAAUCUAUUCAAAAACAGGACUAUACAUAGGACAUGAGGUCACAUGUUUAGAAUGGAAGAAUGGAGAUUUAGUCUAAGGCAAAGGAAAGCUUUUUUACAAUUAGAACAAUAAGGAUGUGGAAUUCUCUGCCUGAAUAAGUGGUUUUAUCAGAGUGGUUUUAUCAAAUGUUUAAACAGCAACUGGAUACAUACUUGCAAAAACAUAAUAUUAAAUAAUAUCUAUGAUUUUUAAAUUGUGGGGUAAUAGCUUCUUGAUCCAAGAAUACAUUUGACUGCUAUUCUGUGGUCAAGAAGUAAAAAACUCAUGUUAGAAAGGCUGAACUUGAUGAACACAGGUCUCUUUUCAGCCUACGUAACUAUGUAAAAUUUAUGCAUGUUGGAAUAAGGAACCUACAAGCCACUUAUACAUUAAAUGGUUGAGUUAGGAAUAACAUUAAAUGAAAAUGACUUGGGAACAAUUCUACAUAACAAACUAGAAAAUAUUAUGCAAUGCAGGUACAGUGCCUUGCAAAAGUAUUCACCCCCUUGGCAUUUUUUGUGUUUUGUUGCCUCACAACCUGGAAUUAACAUGGAUUGUUUGAGGAUUUGCAUCAGUUAAUUUACAGAACAUGCCACAACUUUGAAGAUGUUUUGUAUUUUUUAUUAUUGUGAAUCAAACAUCAAAUAGGCCAAACAACAGAAAAGGUCAAGGUGCAUAACUAUUCACCCCCCUAAAGUCAAUACUUUGUAGAGCCACAGCUCCAAGACACUUUGGAUAAGUCUCUAUGAGCUUGCUACAUCUUACCACUGGGCUUUUUGCCCAUUCCUCCUUGCACAGCUGCUCCAGCUCCUUCAAUUUGGAUGGUUUGCACUUGUGAACAGCAAUCUUUAGGUCUGACCACAGAUUUUCUAUUGGAUUGGGGUCUGGGCUUUGACUAGGCCAUUCCAACACAUUUACACGUUUCCCCUUAAACUACUUAAGUGUUGCUUUAGCAGUGUGUUUGGGGUCAUUGUCCUGCUGGAAGGUGAACCUCCGUCCUAGCCUCAAAUCAUGCACAGAGUGGUACAGGUUUUACUCAAGAAUAUCCCUGUAUUUAGCACCAUCCAUCUUUCCUCAACUUUGACCAGUUUCCCAGUCCUGGCUGCUGAAAAACAUCCCCACAGCAUGAUGCUGCCACCACCAUGUUUCACUGGGGACGGUGUUCUUUGGGUGAUGUGGUCUGUUGGGUUUGCGCCAGACAUAGCGUUCUCUUUGAUGGCUGAAAAGUUACAUUUUAGUCUCAUCAGACCAGAGCACCUUCCUCCAUACAUUUUGAGAGUCUCCCACAUGCCUUUUUGCAAACUCAAAACGUGCCAUUUUGUUUUUUGCUGAAGGUAAUGGCUUUCUUCUGGCCACUCUGCCAUAAAGCCCAACUCUGUGAAGCGUCUGGCUUAUUGUCAUCCUAUGUACAGAAACUCUAGUCUCUGCUGUGGAACUCUGCAGCUCCUCCAGGGUUACCUUAGGUCUCUGUGCUGCCUCUCUGAUUAAAGCCCUCCUUGCCCGGUCCGUGUGUUUUGGUGGGCGGCUGUCUCUUGGCAGGUUUGCUGUUGUGCCAUGUUCUUUCCAUUUGGUUAUGAUAGAUUUGAUGGUGCUCCUGGGGAUCAUCAAAAAUUUGGAUAUUUUUUUAUAACCUAACCCUGACUUGUACUUCUCAACAACAUUGUCCACUUCACAUUCACUAAUUAUGUGACUUCUGAAGGUAAUUGGUUGCACCAGAGCUUUUUAUGGGCUUCAUAACAAAAGGGGUGAAUACAUACGCACGUGCCAAUUUUCUGUUUUCUAUUUCUAAAAAAUAGUUUUAUGUAUAUAUUUUUUCUCAUUUCACUUCACCAACUUAGACUAUUGUGUUCUGAUCCAUCACAUAAAAUUCAGAUUAAUAAAACAUUGAUUUAAAGAUGUAAUGUAACAAAAUAGGUAAAAAGUCAAGGGGGGGUGAAACUUUUGCAAGGCACUGCAUGCCAUUGCAAAGGAAGGUGUUUUCAUGCAUAAAAAGGGGUAUUGGUUCACUUGAUCAAAAUAUAAAUUUGCCUUUUUAUAAAUAAGAGGUAAGUCCACCACCUUGAAAAUGUGGUGCACUUUUGGACACCAGUUUUAUAGAACAAGUGCAAAGGCAAGCCACAAAAUAAAUGAGUGGGAUAGAAAUAUUCGUUUUAAAGAAAGACUAGAACAACUGCAUUUGUUUUAUUUAGA